rfam:Parcubacteria bacterium GW2011_GWC1_45_14 TW95_C0009, whole genome shotgun sequence.
GGUCGCAUGGCGGAGUGGUUACGCAACGGUCUGCAAAACCGUGUACUCCGGUUCAAUUCCGGAUGCGACCU